GUGCCUGCUUUGGUAGCACAUAUAGAAAAAAAUUGAAGGAUACAGAAAACAUUGGCAUGGCCCCUGUGCAAAGAUAACACACAAAUUUAUGAAGCUUUCCAUAGUUUC
rnacentral:snRNA from 1 species